GAGUUUGAUCCUGGCUCAGAAUCAACGCUGGCGGCGUGCCUCAGACAUGCAAGUCGAACGAUUAAACUUCCCUUCGGGGAAGAUAUAGAGUGGCGCACGGGUGAGUAACACGUAAGUAAUCUACCUUCGAGUGGGGAAUAACCCGGGGAAACCCGAGCUAAUACCGCAUAACGCAGCGGCAUCGCAAGAUGACAGUUGUUAAAGGAGCAAUCCGCUUGAAGAGGAGCUUGCGGCAGAUUAGCUAGUUGGUAAGGUAACGGCUUACCAAGGCUACGAUCUGUAUCCGGUCUAAGAGGACGGUCGGACACACUGACACUGAAUAACGGGUCAGACUCCUACGGGAGGCAGCAGUCGGGAAUUUUGGGCAAUGGGCGAAAGCCUGACCCAGCAACGCCGCGUGAAGGAUGAAGUAUUUCGGUAUGUAAACUUCGAAAGAAUAGGAAGAAUAAAUGACGGUACUAUUUAUAAGCUCCGGCUAACUACGUGCCAGCAGCCGCGGUAAUACGUAGGGAGCAAGCGUUGUUCGGAUUUACUGGGCGUAAAGGGCGCGUAGGCGGCAAUUUAAGUCAUCUGUGAAAUCUCCGGGCUUAACUCGGAACGGUCAGAUGAUACUGCUUUGCUAGAGUGCAGAAGGGGCAAUCGGAAUUCUUGGUGUAGCGGUGAAAUGCGUAGAUAUCAAGAGGAACACCUGAGGUGAAGACGGGUUGCUGGGCUGACACUGACGCUGAGGCGCGAAAGCCAGGGGAGCAAACGGGAUUAGAUACCCCGGUAGUCCUGGCCCUAAACGAUGAAUACUUGGUGUCUGGAAUUAUUAUUGUUCCGGGUGCCGUCGCUAACGUUUUAAGUAUUCCGCCUGGGGAAGUACGCACGCAAGUGUGAAACUCAAAGGAAUUGACGGGGA
rnacentral:rRNA from 1 species